ensembl:lncRNA
AACAGAGACAGUUUGGGGAAUCACACACGUGUUCACUCCAACAUCUCUCUCUCCGCUAGCGACCAGUCACUCUUUCCACACUCCACACGGGGAAACACGGGAACGGGUCCGGGGAAUUAGGGUCUUCACAACAAUUCAGCGUCGAACAGCUGACCUCCUCCAUCUUAAAUACCAGCUGAUCUGAUGAGGCCCAGGUGUUCCCAAUCCAGGAAGGCGUGGACCGAGGGCGUGAACCCACCAUGAGUUCCGCCCCGGCAAAACAAGAGAGGGAGGGAGAGAGAUAGAGAUAGAGAGCCAGGAGCAGGGAUAUUAUGAUCAGCGCCUUGCUGAUCCUGCAGGUCGUGACAGAAACGGUGGGAAUGAGAAUCGGCACCUCCAAAAUUUGAGGCCAUGGUCCUCAGCCGGAAAAGGGUGGAGUGCCCACUCCGGGUCAGGGACGAGUUCCUGCCCCAAGUGGAGGAGUUCUUGUUCAUGAGUGAUGGUAGAAGGGAGCCGGAGAUCGAUAGAUGGAUUGGUCUGUUGUGGUGAAGAGAGAGCUGAGUCUAAAAGCGAAGCUCUCAAUUUACCGGUCGAUCUACGCCCCUGCCCUCACCUAUGGCCACGAGCUGUGGGUAGUGACCGAAAUUGCGGAUAGAUGCCGGAUAGGGUGGCUCUCCCUUUGAGAUAGAGUGAGAAUUUCAGGCAUCCGGGAGGGGCUCAGAGUAGAGCCACUGCUCCUCCACAUCCAAAGCAGCCAGUUGAGGUGGUUCGGGCAUCUGACAAGGAUGCCUCCUGGGGUGAGGGGUGAAGCUUGAGGAGGUGGCUGGGGAGAGGGAGGUUUGGGCUUCUCUGCUUGGGCUGCUGUCCCCGUGACCCGGCCCCGGAUAAGCAGAAGAAAAUGGAUGGAUCUAUUUUGGCAUUUUUUUUACGAAAAUAUAGUUGAUGCCUGGUUUACUUUCACAAGGUUAUGAAAUGAGGACAAGACUGGGUGGAUGGAAAACAAGAUACAAGAUAGUUGCUCAAUAUAAACCUUUUCUGUAUGAAACCAAACCAGUGUCUUUCUAUCUAACCACAAAAACUUUAUAUAGGCAUUAAUGUUGUUAGUAGUCAGAAACAUAUGAUGGUUAAAAUUUCAUUAAAAAUCUGUUUGUUGUUUCAGUUUAAGACCGUAAAAUAAACUGAGAAAAGAUGGCAGCUGGCCUGCAGCAUUCAGCGUCUGUCUCAUUUAGAACCCAAAAAGGAGGGAAAAGUCAGAGCAAGAGCAGCCAUUAGACUUCUUUCAGGCUUCAUCUGGAUUUUGGACUCUGGAGUUGGAGAAACUGCCUUCAAAUUUCCGUGUGCAGAGCAAUGGCCAAGCAAAGGAAAGACUUCCCUGAGUGA